AUAAAUGGAACAAAAGCUAAGAACGUGGCAUCGUGCCACAACGCUUUUGUGACCUACAUCCUGCAGG
rnacentral:sRNA from 1 species